CCUGAUGACCAUAGCAAGGUGGCACCACUCCUUCCCAUCCCGAACAGGACAGUGAAACGCCUUUGCGCCGAUGAUAGUGCGGAUUCCCGUGUGAAAGUAGGACAUCGUCAGGC
rnacentral:rRNA from 1 species